AGGCGGGGAACGGCGAAGGGGUGCGGCCGAAGGCCCCGCCCUCUCCUGCGUUGGGUCGUUUCUGGGAGUGCGCUGCGAACGCUGGGUCUUGGAGGUGGUGGCCUCCGCGGCGCUUGUGGCUUUUAAAACAAUCCCAGUUUCAGGACUUCGGUAUGGAUGUUGGGAUUGACAAAAAAUCAGAUAAAGCCUCUAAUAUAGCAAGUUAAUUGACGUCACAUUUCUGAGAAGACUAAGAAUUACGUGAAGGAGAGCUCAGAAUGCAUCGAAACUGUUUAUUUGUGAACAGAAGAUCAAUGAAGCAAAGAAAUGUGCUCAAGAGAAAAAGAGACAAAGUAAGAUUCUUUGUGAUGAAGCACAUAAAUUUAAGGCAGAUAGCAGAAAAGAAAAAUCGAUAGAGAACUUAAAAGGCAGGAGAUCUGAGUGCAGGAUUCAAGGAUUCGAAGCAUAAAGCCUCAAUACCUAAUAAAUGUACCCUGGAAGAAAGGAAAAAGAAGCUAGAAGACAACUGUGAGGCAUUGAGAUCUGUUAAAGUGGCAAAGAAAUCAAAUUAAAAAUGUUAAAGAACAACAUAGGCAUGAUUGAUGAAAUCUGUGGACAAAGAAAGAUGGUCACAGAGGAGUAAGAUAUUCACGUGUUGUUACAAAUACUGUUGUGUUAGUGAAUGUGGGGAACAAUCUAGAUAAUUAUAAUUUUUUAAGAAUAUUUACCACCAUAUUUUUACCAUAUUCAUUCUAUAGAGAAAUGUGUUUCCCCUUUCUGCCU